CUCUAUAAAGAAGCAGGGAGAGACUGUCCUUUUUUUUUUCCCUUUGCAUCUAAUCAUGUCUGAGGAUCUGAGAGUAGGCAAAGAAAAAGCAUGGCCAAGAAGAUUCUGAAUGAUCAUUUCAAAACUCCAGACUAUAUUAAUUGUAAAGGUAUCCAUCUGAGAGUUAUUCCUCACUUGAUCUUCCAACCAGUAGACAUUAGGGUAAAGAUCAUUCCCAAAUAAAGCAGCUGAAAAACACCAGGGAAUAUUUCAACUUGGGAUUCUGUGCCUUCCUGUUUUACAACUUUAUCCCG
rnacentral:lncRNA from 1 species